GGACAAUGAUGAAAAACACGAAUAUAACACACCAUCUUUCGGGACUGAUUGGUGCACUGUGCCAUGCUGUCAAAUCUGCAAUUCUGAUGUCC